GACGAACGCUGGCGGCGUGCUUAACACAUGCAAGUCGAACGGAAAGGCCCUGCUUUUGUGGGGUGCUCGAGUGGCGAACGGGUGAGUAACACGUGAGUAACCUGCCCUUGACUUUGGGAUAACUUCAGGAAACUUGGGCUAAUACCUGAUAGGAUCUCCUGCUGCAUGGUGGGGGUUGGAAAGUUUCGGCUGUUGGGGAUGGACUCGCGGCUUAUCAGCUUGUUUGUGGGGUAGUGGCUUACCAAGGAUUUGACGGGUAGCCUGCCUGAGAGGGUGACCGGCGACAUGGGGACUGAGAUACGGCCCAGAAUGCUACGGGAGGCAGCAGUGGGGAAUAUUGCAGAAUGGGCGGAAGCAUGAUGAAGAAACGCCGCGUGCGGGAUGACGGCCUUCGGGUUGUAAACAGAUUUAGACUGUGACGAAGAGAGAGUGACGGUAAUGGGUAAAGAAGCACCGGCUAACUACGUG
rnacentral:rRNA from 1 species